rnacentral:rRNA from 1 species
GACGAACGCUGGCGGCGUGCUUAACACAUGCAAGUCGAACGGAAAGGCCCUGCUUUUGUGGGGUGCUCGAGUGGCGAACGGGUGAGUAACACGUGAGUAACCUGCCCUUGACUUUGGGAUAACUUCAGGAAACUGGGGCUAAUACCGGAUAGGAGCUCCUGCUGCAUGGUGGGGGUUGGAAAGUUUCGGCGGUUGGGGAUGGACUCGCGGCUUAUCAGCUUGUUGGUGGGGGAGUGGCUUACCAAGGCUUUGACGGGUAGCCGGCCUGAGAGGGUGACCGGCCACAUUGGGACUGCGAGACGGCCCAGACUCCUACGGGAGGCAGCAGUGGGGAAUAUUGCACAAUGGGCGGAAGCCUGAUGCAGCAACGCCGCGUGCGGGAUGACGGCCUUCGGGUUGUAAACCGCUUUCGCCUGUGACGAAGCGUGAGUGACGGUAAUGGGUAAAGAAGCACCGGCUAACUACGUG